AACGAACGCUGGCGGCAGGCCUAACACAUGCAAGUCGAACGAACCUUCGGGUUAGUGGCGCACGGGUGCGUAACACGUGGGAAUAUACAUUUCGGUAAGGAAUAACGCAGAGAAAUUUGUGCUAAUACCUUAUAAUGACUCCGGUCCAAAGAUUUAUCGCCGAAGGAUUAGCCCGCGCUAGAUUAGUUUGUUGGUGAGGUAAGAGCUCACCAAGACUACGAUCUAUAGCUGGUCUUAGAGGAUGAUCAGCCACACUGGAACUGAGACACGGUCCAGACUCCUACGGGAGGCAGCAGUGAGGAAUAUUGGACAAUGGGGGCAACCCUGAUCCAGCCAUGCCGCGUGAAUGAAGAAGGCCUUAGGGUUGUAAAAUUCUUUCAGAUGCGAAGAUAAUGACGGUACCAUCAGAAGAAGCUCCGGCUAAAUUCGUGCCAGCAGCCG
rnacentral:rRNA from 1 species